rnacentral:misc_RNA from 1 species
AGAAGAGGGCUCAGUUUAGCUUUGGCACUGGAGAGCGCCACCUGUAUACUGUUCUGCGUGCUGGUUUUACAUGACUGAUGACACUGUUCCCUAAGGAAUGGGCCAUAAUGUUGUGAUGUUCGAGAAACUGUGCCUUGUCAGCUGAUCGGAUUCCUUGUAAAACUUGACAAAAGAAAGAUUCCCGAUGGCAGUUGACACCCUGGAAAAGGCGUUGGCAGAGGUCGGCUACGGCAGGUGGCAGGUCCCCGUCGUCAUCAUCACUGUCGUAGUGCACAUGCUUGCUCCUGUACAUAUGAUUGGCUCCACGUUAUUGAAUGCCCAGCCUCCUUUUCGGUGCAGGGAUGGCAGUCAGUCUGGACUUGUUAACUUCACAACUUCGACUCCGAGCUUCGUGUUAAGGCCAGAGGAAAACAUUGCCUCUAACACCACGGACACCGGAGACUUUUACAACAGCGAGUGUCUUGUUGGCACUGCGGCCGCUUCCUCCUCCUCCUCCUCCUCCUCCUCCUCCUCUUCCUCCUCCUUGUCCUCUGAGCGCCGGGGAGACAACGCACGAGAGGCAUGGCGGUUGACAGGACUCGCCUUGUGCCCUGAGAUUCUGCAAGAUGAUUCUAUCUUCUCGUCUACUGUGUCCAUGGAGUGGAAUUUGGUGUGUGAGCGAAGCUGGUUGCGGCCGCUGUUCCAGAUGGCAUAUUCAGUUGGUUCCAUGGUUGGCAGUACAGGUGGCGGUCAUGUUAGUGAUAGGUACGGGCGCAAGAGGUCCAUCCAGAUAGCCUGUGGCAUUAACCUGGCGGCGGUGCUGGGCAUGUGGUUCCUCCCUUGGUACCCGGGGGUGUUAGCAGCCAGGGUGCUUUCGGGCUGUUCCAUCGGGUGCAUGAUCUUGCCUGUCUUCAGCCUCGCACUUGAGACCACGCCCUCUCGGCACAGGACGAUGGCGGGGAUGCUCCUGGGGACGUCCUUCAGCGUGGCGGUGGUCCUGUUCGCGGGCGUUGGGUAUCUCAUCAGGACGUGGCGUCUGCUCCUCCUGGCUGGGUCGGUGCCUCUCCUGGUCGUGCUGCCGAUGUCGUUUUUGGUCGCCGAAUCCCCGAGAUGGCUAAGUCAGAAGGGCCGAGGUCAUGAGGCGGCGGUCAUCUUAGGUCACGCCGCCACCAAGAACCGCGUCGAACUUUCGCCUGCCCUCACCUCUGCCCUCCGAGACCUGCAGGAGGAGUCCCAGGUCAAAGAGAAACCAGAGAGGUCAGAGGCACUGGACUUGACCUGGGGAGAGCGUGCGCGCGCAUGGCUCCACCGGAUGACCGUUUACAUGCGUUUCCCAGCGUUACGGCGUAUCAUCUUCGCCACUAUGGGCAUAUGGUAUCUGCAGGGCAUUCUUUAUCUGGGCAUCAUUCUCAACGCUAAUAAUUUCACGAGCAACGACCCAUAUCUCUACUUGGCCAUGUCAGGCACAAUGGACUGCCUGGCCAUCCUUCUAGCCACGCCCCUUAAUAUGCGGAUGGGGCGUCGAUUUAUCGUGGGCGGCGCCCUUCUGGUAGCGGGCGUCCUUCUGCUCCUGGAUCUAGCUGUUCCUGAGGAACUCUGGUGGAUACGCUGGGUCCUCGUGAUGACGUCACUACUCCUCAUCGCUGCAGCUUUCCAGGUGAGGUUUGAUUGUCAGAAGAAUGAGGAAUAAACAGUCACCCCGGUUCUGUCUACACAUGCGGAUAGGUGAAGCAGCGAGCGUACAUGUAUGUAAACUUCAUGUAUGUGCCGGAGCUCUACCCAACCGUGAUAAGAUCUCGGGGUUUCGCGCUGGCCAGUCUCGCAGGCAGCUUCGGCUUCUUAACAGCGCCUUUCAUCAC